rnacentral:lncRNA from 1 species
CUGUAUUUUACAAUAUUUUUUCUGGUAUGUAUGAUUAAAUACACAUUCCAUGAUUUAUAAUUAAAUUGCUUGUCUGCUAUAAAGAUGCUGUAAAGUCCGUAAUGUAAACAAACGCUUUGUUUACACUUUCAACUCAGUGCUACAGUUGUAAAAUAUGAUUACAUAUAUAUUAAAGUGCCUAUAUCACUUGCGGGACCUUUUGGAUUUGAAAAAAGCGGAAAAGGUUAGUUAAAAAGUUAAAAAGAUUUUUUCGAUUUAGUGGAAUAAUUUUGAAGAUAUAGGUCUCUAAAGUACCUACAGUUCCUGAGUCCCAGGCUCCUAUGCACAAUGGACAGUUUCGAAAAAGGCCAAAUUCUAUAGCCGCGUUUAGACCCCAGGAAGCUGGGACUCAGGAACAGUCCGUUGUUUAAAGGCCUGUAUCCUCAAAACUAUUGCAUUAUAUCAAAAACUUGAACUUAUUAACUAACUUUUUGAUAUCUUUUCAAAUCCAUAAAAGUCCCACAAGUGAUAUAAGCACUUUAACAUUCUUCUGGUUCGCUAUGCUUGUAAAUGAAUACAGACUAGAGAUUCAUUUCAAGAAAGUUCGGAAGGUGCAAAAUAUUAAUAAUAUUCCAAUGGUCGGGUCCCGACCAUUGGAACGUAGGCCCCUGUGCAGAACUUAUGCGCAGCACGGACUUUACAGCAUCUUUAAUAUUAAUUAUGUCAUAAAUAAUCAGCCGCAUUUAUUAAGAUUUGUUUUGUCAUACACAUGUUCUGAGUUGUCAAAAUUAAAGUUGGAAUGAGCAAACUCUAAACCCAUCAACAUAUAUUAGUAACAAUCCUAUCAUACUUAGGGGCACCAGGGAUAUUUUCAAGCACUAUUUUACUACCGUUGUACGGUAGUACAUACUCAAUCUUCAAUUGAGUUUUGAAACUCAAUCUUCCUCACAAUGAUUUUUUUUCACAAUUUGAUUUUUUAAAUGUAAUUGUUCCAUUAAAAACCUGUUUUGCUAUACAAUUUUGUUCAAAAAGCUGUCGAAAACUGUUUCACUUCUGGGACAAAAUCUCGUAGAAUACUCGUGCCCAUGCACACCAGAAAUGUGUACUUCAAACAAGGGUGUGAAGGGAUGUGACACCACCAUAAUUUUGAGAAAUAGUCCAAAACGUCGGUCCCAAAUGAACCAUUUGUCGGUCCCGAUAGGCAUUACGCAAAAUUAUUGUUUCCGUGAGAUUUAUUUUUUGUACAGUGUCCAAAAAUUAAUAAGUAAGGUUACAGAAUUGCUAAUUGUCAUUAUACACUGCCUGAAUCAACUUCCUUCUGUGCUCUACAGCCAGCUGAUGGCCAAACUAGAGUCUGAAAAUGCCAUUUCCAAUGAUCUAGAGACUUCAAAGUUUCAAAAUUUUCCGCUCGGGGCCAACCAUGGAGGCGCCUCGUGCAACUCCCCCUUCCAAAAGGUAAACACGUAAAAACUUUUACACCCCUCCAAAAUAUAUUGGAACGUGCACACCUGACCACAAAAUAUUUCAAAGUCCUUCCCCCCCCCAAAAAAAAAGCCGAAAGAAACUCAAUCUUCUUCUGAAAAACGGUAGUAGACUAAAGUGCUUGAAAAUAUCCCUGGGGCACCAAUCGGCUAGCUUUGGCAGGUUUGGUAAAUUUUGGCAAAUAUUCCUUGACAAGUUCUGUUGCUCGCGUGCACGGAAUGUUAAUUGUUAAACAUUUAUCUCACGUCAAGGCCACCUUUUGUUUGCCAAAACCAGAGAAACAUUUCCUGUACACUUGUUGUCCAGUUUUCCGUAAAAAAUUUCCUUGUCCAAAAGCAGGCACGACUAGUUAUGGAACAAUUUCCUUGGCAAGGAAAACUUGUCCAUUUUUUUGCCGUACACACGAGCAAAUAAAAUUGGUCAAGGAAAAACUGCCCGUCUGUACAGGGCUUAAGCGCUUAACAGGGCUUAAUAAAGGCUACAACCCCAGACAAUGGAUGAUUCCAGCUACAGACUAAAUUUUGAUCUAGACAAGAAGAACAAAAUCCUUCACCACAGCUAGAAAGAGCAUGUUAAAAUUAGUAAAAUGAAUAUCCCUAAGAAAUUUUGUAUUAAGAGGCAUUUUUUCAAUGUCACAUAUUUGCAAUGAAAAGUGUUCAAAACCUAAAAUCUUUUUGGCGUUCCUCUCAAAAUUACUUUGUUUUAGAUCUAUUCUCUAGUUUAUAGAGUUAGCAACCUUUUUAAACGUAUCUGCCGGUUGAGAAACAUAAAUAAUAGUAAAAAAUUGUCAAUUUAAAUACAUUUAUCAUUGAUAUUGUAAAAUUGACGCCAUAUUUAUACAGCAAUGUAAGCAAAACGUACUGAACUUCAGACAUAAUUUUUCUCUUUGGCGUACCAUCUAAAAUCUCUUCAUUUUAGCAUAAAUUUACAGAUAAAGCAUCAAAAAUACUUUUAAAGUUUGUUUGCCGCUUGAGAAACGUAUCAAAAAUAUAAAAAAUUGAAUAUAGUAACAAAAGCAUAUUCAUUAGUUUUGAGCGCGUGCGUAUACGUGACAUACAAAAGAUUCUCCUCUGAAUUUGUAUUACAGUACGCGCGGGAAAAUGUACCACAUUUGGGCCGAAAGCUGGUGGUGCAUUUUCCUGUGCAUAAUACAAUUUAAUACAAAAUUUGCAAAUUUCGUAGGGCUAUAUUUUGUUCUUCUUGCCUAGAUCAAAAUUUAGUCUAUAGGCAGCUGGAAUCAUCUAUUCUGUUGACCAAAUUAUAUGCACAAAUUUUCUCAUAGGUUUUCUUUUGUAGGUUUCAUUCGUUUCAAAAUACCACAUCAUUAGUCAAUAU